CGUAGGUGGCAAGCGUUGUCCGGAAUUAUUGGGCGUAAAGCGCGCGCAGGCGGUUCCUUAAGUCUGAUGUGAAAGCCCCCGGCUCAACCGGGGAAGGUCAUUGGAAACUGGGGAACCUGAGUGCAGAAGAGAAGAGCGGAAUUCCACGUGUAGCGGUGAAAUGCGUAGAGAUGUGGAGGAACACCAGUGGCGAAGGCGGCUCUUUGGUCUGUAACUGACGCUGAGGCGCGAAAGCGUGGGGAGCAAACAGGAUUAGAUACCCUGGUAGUCCACGCCGUAAACGAUGAGUGCUAAGUGUUAGAGGGUUUCCGCCCUUUAGUGCUGCAGCUAACGCAUUAAGCACUCCGCCUGGGAGUACGGCCGCAAGGCUG
rnacentral:rRNA from 1 species